rnacentral:tRNA from 1 species
GUGUCCGUAGCUCAGUGUUAGAGCAUUUGACUGCAGAUCAAGAGGUUACCUAUUCGAACCCGGUUGGGCCCU